GGGUUGUGAGGUUAAGCGACUAAGCGUACACGGUGGAUGCCCUGGCAGUCAGAGGCGAUGAAGGGCGUGCUAAUCUGCGAUAAGCGCCGGUAAGGUGAUAUGAACCGUUAUAACCGGCGAUACCCGAAUGGGGAAACCCAGUGUGACUCGUCACACUAUCAUUAACUGAAUCCAUAGGUUAAUGAGGCGAACCGGGGGAACUGAAACAUCUAAGUACCCCGAGGAAAAGAAAUCAACCGAGAUUCCCCCAGUAGCGGCGAGCGAACGGGGAGGAGCCCAGAGCCUGAAUCAGCAUGUGUGUUAGUGGAAGCGUCUGGAAAGGCGCGCGAUACAGGGUGACAGCCCCGUACACAAAAGCGCAUGUGCUGUGAGCUCGAUGAGUAGGGCGGGACACGUGGUAUCCUGUCUGAAUAUGGGGGGACCAUCCUCCAAGGCUAAAUACUCCUGACUGACCGAUAGUGAACCAGUACCGUGAGGGAAAGGCGAAAAGAACCCCGGCGAGGGGAGUGAAAAAGAACCUGAAACCGUGUACGUACAAGCAGUGGGAGCACCCUUUGGGUGUGACUGCGUACCUUUUGUAUAAUGGGUCAGCGACUUAUAUUCUGUAGCAAGGUUAACCGAAUAGGGGAGCCGGAGGGAAACCGAGUCUUAACCGGGCGUUAAGUUGCAGGGUAUAGACCCGAAACCCGGUGAUCUAGCCAUGGGCAGGUUGAAGGUUGGGUAACACUAACUGGAGGACCGAACCGACUAAUGUUGAAAAAUUAGCGGAUGACCUGUGGCUGGGGGUGAAAGGCCAAUCAAACCGGGAGAUAGCUGGUUCUCCCCGAAAGCUAUUUAGGUAGCGCCUCGUGAAUUCAUCUCCGGGGGUAGAGCACUGUUUCGGCUAGGGGGCCAUCCC
rnacentral:rRNA from 1 species